GACGAACGCUGGCGGCGUGCCUAAUACAUGCAAGUUGAGCGAUGAAGAUUGGUGCUUGCACCAAUUUGAAGAGCAGCGAACGGGUGAGUAACGCGUGGGGAAUCUGCCUUUGAGCGGGGGACAACAUUUGGAAACGAAUGCUAAUACCGCAUAACAACUUUAAACAUAAGUUUUAAGUUUGAAAGAUGCAAUUGCAUCACUCAAAGAUGAUCCCGCGUUGUAUUAGCUAGUUGGUGAGGUAAAGGCUCACCAAGGCGAUGAUACAUAGCCGACCUGAGAGGGUGAUCGGCCACAUUGGGACUGAGACACGGCCCAAACGCCUACGGGAGGCAGCAGUAGGGAAUCGUCGGCCACGGACGAAAGACUGAGCGAGAAACGCCGCGGGAGUGAAGAAGGGUUUCGGAUCGUAAAACUCGGUUGGUAGAGAAGAACGUUGGUGAGAGUGGAAAGCUCAUCAAGUGACGGUAACUACCCAGAAAGGGACGGCUAACUACGUG
rnacentral:rRNA from 1 species